GCUAACGCCAUUCGUUUGGGUGCCCCUUGAGGGUGAAACUGGGAAACCGGUGCGUCAUACACUCCUUUAUUAGGUGUACGACAAGUCCGGUGCUGCCCCCGCAACGGUAAGUGAGAAAAGCGUCAGAACCACUGUGCCCGCUGCCUGGCAUGGGAAGGUGACGCCUGUGGUGUGGCCAGCUGCCAACCCUCACCAGCCCGGAGACCGGCCCGACGCUUGACCGAACAA
rnacentral:ncRNA from 1 species